UCUUCCAUCUAUUAGUUCACUCCCCAAAUGGCUGCAAUGGCCCAGGCUGGGCUAAGCUGAAACCAGGAGCCAAUAGCUUCAUGUGUGUCUCCCACUUGGGUGGCAGGGGCCCAAGCACUUAGGCCAUCUUUGGCUGCUUUCCUAGAUGUAUUAGCACAGAUCUGGGUCAGAAUUGGAGCAUCUGGGACUUGAACUGGUGCCUACAGGAUAUGCUGGCAUUUCAGGUGGCAGUUUAGUCCAGUGUGCCACAGUGCUGGUCCCAAGAAUUUCAUGCUUCUGUAAAAUUAACAACCAUAUGAAAGCCGUUGUCUUAUUAGGACUUGUUAAUGGAAAUGAAGAUUGUUAGGCAAUGAUUAUGAAGGUGAAGGACAAUUCAAUAUCAGAUAUUGGGAAUUUACUUGGAUAGAGGUAUGUGUACGAGAGACAACUGUAAAGACUGUUUCUUAAACCAAAGCUAAGGAUCAGUCUUGUAAAGCCACAAGCCACUAUUUUGUGCAAGGAAAAGUGAUUGAAUUUUCAGUUCAGAAUUUUAUUUGUUGGUUAAAGAAGAAUGUGAUUGUUGAACCCCAAGUGAUUGGGUGAUUGUUGAGCCCCAAGUCCUUUAUUGGUUUAGAUAGUUGCAGGUUCACCAUUAGUAUUUUUAAAAAAUAUUUAUUUGGAAAGCAAAAUUGAGAGAAAGAGAGAGGGAGAGAGAGAGAGAGAGAGGGAGAGAGAGAGAGAGCAAGAGCAAGAGAGAUAACUUACAUUUGUGGUUUCACUCCCCAAAUGGCCAGGAGAUUCUUUUGGGUCUCCCAUGUGGGUGCAGGGGCCCAAGGACUUGGGCCAUCUUCCAUUGCUUUCUCAGGCCAUAGCAGAGAGCUGGAUUGGAAGUGGAGCAGCUGGGGCUUGAAUCAGCACCCAUAUUGGAUGCUGGCAUUAUGGGCAGAGGCUUUAUCCACUAUGCCCCAGUGCUGGCCCCUAUAGCUACAAUUCUAAGAAUAUAAUGAUAUGUCCAUUCUUUCACUCUCAUUCUCUCUCUCUCUCUCUCUCUCCCUCUCUUUUAUUCUUUGUUCUUUCUCUCUUUAUUUUUGACAUAAAAUAUUUUUAAUUUACAUUAUUGUCAAAGGCUUAAAGUAAGAAGACCUCUGAAUCAGUGGGAAUAUAGGCAAGGACUAUAAACAGUAAGAGUUGGCAUAAAUGAUUAAUCAGCAACAUACAAAGCUAUUCUUUUCUCUGAUGUGCUGAUGGCAUUUCUAAGGGGGUUAUCACUGUAGAGGUAUUUUCAGUUUGGACUCUAAGACAGAGACACUUUUGCUGCAAAUUUUUUUUUUUAAACUCAACAGAUAACAUGGGCCAGAAAUCAAAGGAGAAAAUUGUACAUUAAAAGCACAGAUAUGUUAUCCAAAACCUAUAUUUUGAGCUAGCACUCAGCAAAUUAAACUUUAAUCAUAUUGGUCCUGAAACAGGAGUCCUUGGGUGGGUUUGAGACAAGAGCAAUACGAGACGUGAGAAAGAGAUUCCAAAUGGAGCUGUAUGGGCUUGUGCUAGACAAGCUGUCUAAAGAUUAGUACGGGUUUCCCAGGGGAGGGAAAUAGUCGGUGAUAGCAGACUCAAAGUGCACAUUUUAUUGUUUACAAAGUAUAAAGGCAACAUAUUUUUGUGUUUAUCAUUGUAUAUGUAAAAUAUAUAUGCAAGUAUUUAUCAUUUCAAAAUCAAAGACUUCCUUCCACACCCAGUUUGACAUUUAAGAGACAAAUAUAUCUGAAUAUGAAAGUUUCUCAAAAAUUACAAAAAUAAAAAUUCUGGCUCCCCAAUUUGGCAAAACAGUGACAGGUUGUACUUUUAGGCUUCUGUUUCAGUAAAGUAUAUACCUCUAAAUAUGUUUCAGUAUUUGUCUUAAAUCUUAUCUCACUUAUUCCUUUUAACUGUACACUAUUCACUGUUUUAGCCAAUGUGCCAUCAUUUUCUCAGUCAACCAUCGAGCCUUCUUAGUUUCUUUCUAAGCAUUAGACUUUUUUGAUCCCACUUCCUCAUCUCUUCCUGUAUAAAUGUGGGAGUCAAACUUAGUUUUGGCUGGUUUUCAGAGACUGUGAAUGGACAUUGGAUGUAGAGAUGGUGUUGGGCUGGCUCAGGGUGCAGGGUUAGCACCGCGAACUGGACAAAAGCUUUCCAGGCAGAGCUCGCUGGGCUACAAAAUGAAAGGAUCAAAUCUGAGGUUCCCAGAAGUUGUUUUGUGUGAUGAGGCCAGGCAUGCAUACUCAGGUGCAACCUCUGAUUUCCUUUUGCAUGUCCUCUGUUAUUGACCUUUAUUAGGAAACUCUUUUGGGUAUUAUUAUGAAACUAAAAAUAAAUAUAAAGGAAUGAAUGUAAAGUGUAAAAUGGAAAAGAUGAAAAAAUAGGAAAUGGACUGUUGUGGAACAAAUCUGGCAGACACUAAAAAAUCCUGCUGUGAGGAGCAGGCAUAUAGUCUCUGUUAGGACACCUUCAUGCAGGAUCAGUGUGUUUGCAUUCUAUGCCCAGCUUUGGCUCUGGUCUCCAGCUUCCUGCUAUUCCUGCCAUCCAGGUGGGAGACCUGGAUUGAGUUUUCAGCUCUGGGUUUUGGUAUCCAGCCCACGGCAAUUACAGGCAUUACUUUGGGGAUUGAACCAGCAGUUAGUAACUCUCUCUGUGUCUAGUCUAUCUGUUCACCUCUUUAAGAAAAUCCCUUUGUGAGAUAACCUUGAUAUAAACAUGAGUCAUGGAGAUGAAAAAGUAAAGAUAUGAAUAUGUACAGGGAGAAUUUUUGUGUUGUAAAUGGUGGAAUAUAGUGACUGAUAGAUAAGGAGUUGACAAGGAUGCUGUACAAGGUUCUUAGUUUAAGAAGAGAGGCAAGUCUUGAGAGGAAUGAUAAUGAAUUUCCUGUUUAGAAUAUGUUGAAUUUGAGAUGUCAGAGUGUCCUCCAAGUGAAGAUAUAGAAUAGGAAAUUAUAUAUACAGGCAUGGUACUUGUGAGAUUUUUGAGCAAAUGACAAUACACUAACAGCGGCAAUAAUAGUUAUAUAUAUAACAGUAUAUCUAUCUAUCUAUCUAUCAACUGUGUGGCUAAUUGUAUUUCCAUGCUGUACACAAAAUAUUUUCUUUUUUUUAAGGUUACUGAUUUUUAAAAUUUUGGAUUAACAUUCAAUUUUACAUUAUUAUGGGAUGCAAUAUUUCAAUAGAUAUGCAUAGCAUAAACCAAUGAUACUGGGUUAUUAGCUCUUCCAUUUCAUUUAUCAUGAAUUAUAGCUACCCGACUGUUCUGUGGAACACCAGAACCCAUUACCUUUACCCAAUUGUGUUUUGAUGCCCAGUAUCCAGUUUCUGCUCAUCCUCCACCAUUCUCAUCAGUUGGUAAUCACGGUUUUAGAAUCACAAAGGUUGUGUGUAUAACCCUGCACCUGCAGGGCAGCUCACCACCACCUUCACUGUGUAUGUAUAUGUGUGUGUUAUAUAUCAUAUAUAUAUACAUAUGAGAUGUAUGUAUAUAGUACCCAAGAUGUAUAAUCAGCCUAGAUGUCUAUCUGUGGAUGAAUGGAUAAAGAAAAGAUAAUAUAUAUACACAAUGGACUAUUAUGCAAUCAUAAUAAGAAUGAAAUACUGACAUUUGCAACAUAAUGGAUGGAGUUGGAUAUCAUCACAUUAAGUGAAAUAAACCAGAUAUACCAAGUGUUUUCUGUUCUAUGCGUCUGUCUCUAUCUCUGUUCUUAUGCCCGUUUCUUCUGUGUUAGACUGUCCUUUCCCUGAUUCUAGAUUUAUUUCUACCAGGGACAACGUUUCUAGGUUGUGGCAACAACAUUUUUUGACUUUCCAAUACUUCCAUACUUUACUCCCUCAUUAUUCUUCAGUUAUUUUAGUGGUAUUUUGGGAGUUUGCCAUCUUGGAAUUGAAGCCAGAACUGUGAAUUGAGGCAUUAUCUGCUUGCUCAAGUUUGAUCACAUUUUGAAAUGCAUUAAACUUUUUAUGAUAAUAUUUAAUGAUUUCAUUGUACCAAAUUGCAUUCCAGUGUAGUCUGAAAAAUAUGGCUGGGUUCAGCAUUGUGUCGCAGCAGGUUAAGCUGCUGCCUGCAACACUAGCAUUCCAUAUGAGCACCAUUUGCAUCACAAUUGCUCCACUUCCAAUCCAGUACCUGCUAACAUGCUUGGAAAAGCACUGGAAGCUGGCCCAGUUCCUUGGACCCCUGGCAUGCCCAUGGGAGACCUAUAUGGUAUUCUAUGCUCCGGGCUUUGGCCUGGCCCACCUUGUUGCUGGGGCCAUCUGGGAAAGUGAACCAGCAGAUGUAAGAUGGCUCUCUUCAUCUCUCCCUCUCUCUGUGUCCUUCAAAUCUAUCAAUAUCAGUCAAUAUUUAAAUAAACCAGAGCUUCAAUGAAAUGUUGAUCUCUUCACUGUCAUGGAAAAAAUGAUUCUAAACAAAUUUAAGAUCAAAAUGCUCUAGUUUUCUCAUCCUUCUUUUUCCAAAAAGAGAACACAAGAAAUGAUUCUUUAUAUAUUUUUUAAAAAUAAAAUCAAAAGCUAUAUUGAAAAUUUAGAGAAUGUGAAAAAGUGCAGCAAGACAUUUUUAAAAGCAUCCACAACACUACCACCCAUAUGUAAGUACUGUAAAUAUUUGUAUAUAUUUGUAUAUAUUUCCGGGUGUCCCACAUGGGUGCAGGGACCCAAGCACUUGGUCCUUCCUCUACUGUUUUCCAAGGCCAUCAGCAGGGAGCUAGAUCGGAGUGGAGAAGCUGGGAUUGGAAUCAGCGCCCACAAGGGAUGCCAGUGCCAUAGGCAGAGGGUUAGCCUACUACGUCACAAUGCCAGCCCCCUCUAAAUUAUUUUUUAAUUAAUUAAUUUAUUUGAAUGGCAAAGGAUGAGAGCAAGAUAGAAAGAGACAGACAGAGAUCUUCUAUUUUCUGGUUCAUUCCUCAAAUGGCUGCAACAGCUAGGGCUGUGCCAGGCUGAAGCAAGGAGACAAGAAUGCCAUCUGUGUUUUUCACAUGUGUGGCAGGAACUCAGGUACUUGAUCCAUUAUCUGCUACCUUCCAGGUGUAUUAGUAGGAAUCUGGGUCAGAGGCAGAAGUGGAACUCAAUCCCAGGAACUGUGAUAUGGAAUGUGGGUAUUGUAAGUGCCAGGUUAACUUGCUAAGCCACAGCCCUGACCCCUAGUUUCUUUUCUAUGCAUAAAUGUGAAAGCACGUAUUUUUGUGUGUAUACAGAAAUACAUUUUGUAAAAUUAGGAUACACUAUUAAUCCUUCUUUUAGUAAUAUAGCAUAAGCACCUUCACCAUAUAUUUUAUCUUUAAGAAUAUUUUAGUAGUGGCAUGUAGUCAAUGAUAUUGAUACUCCAUAAUUUAAUUAAACUACCGUUGUUUUCAAAGAUUUCUUUGCCUUCAUAAAUAGUUCUCAAUAAGCAUAUUUAUAAAUAAAUUUGCAUGCCUAUUUUAGUAAAUACGAGAAAACUCCCUGAAGGGUGUGAAGGUUAGCUGGCUGUGACACGGAACACCCAUUGGUCACCAGGGUAUUUUCAGUUUAAUUGACUGGCUAGAUGCAAGUCCCAUUUGAAACCACCUGGUCCAUUCGACAAUCAGAGAUAAAGCAGAGUGUUCUUUGCUUGUGGUCUUAUGUGUAGCUGCAUGGGCUUGAUAACUAGUCUCCAGAGGUAGCCUCCUAAUGAACCACACCUCCAGAUACUCACUCCCCUGUGCAGUCCCCUGUCCACCUUGAAUUUAUGUUGCCUCUGUGAAAAUAACAGGAAGAAUUGCUACAUGACUUUCAUGAGUAGUCUACAAGAAAUUAUGCAGCCUCUUUUUGUAUUUCUGUAAUAUUCAUUCUGGGGAAGUCAGUCAAAAUAUAUUAAAUAAAAACCCAGCUAUAUUAAGAAUGUCAUUUCAAGGAAGUCCAAUGAGGAAACAUGAGAAAAAUGCUUUGAUAUUGCUUUGUUUUCUUCUAUAUUUGUUACCACAUAUAAAAUAGACCUUUGAAUAUUUCAUUUUCACUUUCAGUGUAAAGAACACAUAAAAGUAUUGCAAAUAGCCAAGAAGAAAAACUAGCAGGACUAAAGCUUGGACAGCCUUCAGUUGAGCCAGCUGAAGUCUCAGAUGUAUGAGUGAAGAAGUCUUCUUGGACAGUCAGCUCAGCUGAGUCUGAAGAUAGCUCCAGACCCAGUCAUCAUUUUAUUAAAACCAUUGAGGGAUGGUCAUUUAGCCUCGCUGUUAGCACAUUUCACGUCCCACACCAGCAUGCCUGACCCUGAUAGCCACCUCUGUCUCCUGGCUUUAGCUUCCUGCCAAUGCAGACCCUGGGAGGCAGUGAUGCUGGCUCAAGUUACUUGGGUUCCUGCCACCCACUUGGGAGACCUGGACUGAGUUCCUGGGUGCACUGGGUUCCUGGCCUAGCCAACCCCAGUUGUUGAAGGCAUUUGGAAACUAAACCAGAAUAUGAGAGUUCUCUCAUUCUCCCCUUCCUUCUCAAAUAAAAAAAAAAUCCUAUAUGAAAAUGUGAAGCCUCAGUGAGUUUAACAACCCAGGAAGGCCAAUAAGCAUUCAGAAUUAGAAAAGGCAAAUAACUUGUUUUUAGGGCUAUCUAGUAUGAAGCAUUAGAUAACUGGAGCAAUGGGCAUUUGGAGAGUACUUCUAAAGUUCAUGGAAAGUGUAUUAUAUUAAAUAAAAAGCUAUGCAUUGAUUUCAAGAAUUUUUGCACCACAGUAAACUUAUUUUUUAAUUUCCUUUGCUCAAGAAUUUAUUGAAGCAGCCUCAUUUGUUUGAUAGAAAUACUUGGAAAGACUUCCAUGCAUCCCCUUAAGACCAGCCCUCUUCUGUUAGAUUGAAUUCCCAGAGGAAAUCCUGAAGGGCCACACCAAGAGGUGCGUGGAAACAGAGCCAUUGACUCUUAAAGACAACUUGGGAGACUGUGUACAGUUGGAUUCAAGAGGAAGAUGCUACUCCUAUUGCAGUGUUUUCUUCUGUAUUUAGAAUAAAUGAUAGGCCUUUUGAAUUUUCUCAUUCCGUGGAAGGAAUCCCUAAAAAUGAUGUCAGUGUAGGAAUUAUAUUUAGUCCCAGUGUGAAACAAACCAAUGAACACAACUUACUUCAAAAUUAUGAGCUAGAAUAUUUAUUAGGUUCAUCACAGCAAUCAUUCUCAUUACUAACAUUUAUUUAAAUGAGCAAAGCAUGUGACGUUAGGUGCUCGUAUUAAGGGUAUGUUCCUAAAGAAAUAAGGUCUGAAAUCAACUCUGUUUCCUACAGUGAUAGCAAGUGGCAUCUUUAUUUUUCCUAUGUAAGUUAAAUCAUCCUUAUCAAUGCUGCUGAAGUUAUGAACUGUUUGCUGUCUGCUUCUAGCACCAUGGGAGCACCCUAUAAAAAGAAAACAUGAUUAUGGUCCAUGAACAGGUUAGAGCAGGUAAGACUAAACAUCAGAUAAGACCGUUACAGGAGUGGAAUCACUUCAAGUCCUAAGCAGUAACCAAAGUUGGCCAGGCCUGCAGAAGGACACUUUAAAGAGACUCAGAAAGGCAAUAAACCAGAAAAUCAAACCUCUGAUAAGGAGAGGAUGCUUUCUAGAAGUGAGUGUGAUGGGGAGAUGCAUUCAGAUUUGAUAAGAAAAGUUGCCAAGUUCUUACAAAGAUUAUGUAUGGGUAUUCAGGUUGAGAAAUGAAUAAAAACAAUGUUUUCCAAAGAACAUGUCAAAAUUAAUGUUAUAGCAUAGAUUAAGAAACACAUCAUAGCUUUUCUUUUUUUUUAAAUUAUUUUAUUUUGUUUAAGGAAUACAACUUCUCUUUUUCUCCACAGUAGGAACAUGCUAUUUUGCUCCUAUAAUUGUGGAUCUGUUAUAUCAUUUAUUGGUCCUUGUAUUUCGGUUUAUAGUCCUUUUUUCCUGAAGCUUCUCCAAAAUUGGAAUUAUUGGAUAGAAAUGCACUCUUUAUUAACAUAAUUUUGCUAUAUUCUAAAAAAAACCCCUAGGUUUGAAGUAGAUUAGUAGGCUAUACAAACCCAAAUCAGUCAUAUUACAUUAAAAACAGACUUUGUAAUACUAAUAAUUUUGUUAGUAUCAGAUGCCAAGCACAGCCUUUCAGAUGUAAAGAGAAUGACAAGGAACAAGAACACCAUAAAAAGUGGCACCAGGGCUGAGAAACACCUUCUGGCAGAUCCACGUGGGUCACUGAGUAUUUCUUGUGUGUCCCUGUUCGUAGCCACCCAUCCUGAUUUUCCAGUAUGUGACCGCUGUUCUCAACUGUUGAUCUAUCAAAUUUCCAUCUUAGAGUUAUGAUAAAGAUUUAGAUGACUUCUCCAUGACUGAACCUUUCAGAUUACUAAAGCCGUCCAAUUUUGCUUAUUGUUUCUCAGCACAGGUUUUGCAAGUACAGGAAGUAUAAACCGCUGGUUUUGAUUUUACAAAUCCCUGGCUAACACUGGGCACGGAUUUGAGGUGCUGUGUAAGGUGCCCUGAAUACGUAUAUAGAUGGCACCAGAAUUACCCUCAACUCCACCUUUCUUGUGCUUCUGGGCUAUUUAACUAUCACAAGAAUUUUUUUUUUCUCAGUGAUUUAAGAUGCAGCUUCAGAUUCCUUCUCAACACAACAUUUCAUGGAGCUGCAGCCAAUCAAAAGGAAUUGAUAAGUAGAUUAAAACCUAACUGCCAUUCAUGACACCCAGGAAAGUGUAAAUUCAAAAAUGUUCUUGUAAUCUGUCAAAGUCACCUUUAGAAAUUUAGAUUUCCCCUUGCCUUUCCUAAAUAGAUUUUUCACUUUAAUUAGAUGUAUGAUUACUUUUCUUGUCUUUAUACAUAGGGGCUGAUCAGCCAAAUGUAAGUGUUUAGUUAUAACCUUGCAAAUUCAGAAAGAAGCUUUAAAUCAGGAUGAAAAAAGAAAUCAAUGAGUUUAAUUAACACCAUUGUUGAGUAGUCAGCAACUGUUUUGAACUUCUAACUUUUCAAAAUAAAAAAUGAAACUUUAAUUUUAUUAUUCUGAAGGCUUUAAAACAAACUGUAUUUAUAUCUUUGUUGUUAACAUCUAUCAGUUUUCAGAUGAGCUAAUAUCUGCAGGUAGAGCUUGACACAUGUAGCUUUAUUGAUUUUUUUUAAAAAAAUUCUUUAUUUAUUUGAAAGGCAGAGAGAAACAGACACAUCUCCCUUAUGUUGGUUUAUUCCCCAAAUGCCUGCAACAGUUGGGGCUGGGCUAGAUUGGAGUCAGGAGCCAAGAACUCAAACGAAAUCUCCCAUGCGGAUGACAGGGACCAAAUUACUUGAGCCAUCACCUGUUAUUCCCAUGGUGCUCAUUAACAAGAAGCUGGAAUCAGGAACAGAGUAGGUACUCUAACCCAAGCACUCUGAUAGAGGAUGUAGGUGUCCAGGCUGUGUCCUAGCACUGCACCAAAUACCCACUCCCACAUGUAGCUUUAGAUACUGAUCAAGAGUAUUUUAAAAUUCCUAUCACAACAUUGAAAUUCAGAGUUCAUAAAAAAUAGUAUUACAGAAAUUCAAGAAAAUAGCUUGCUUUCAGUAUUUUCUUGCAUGCUAUCUUCUGCAUGAGACCUCUCUUGACUUUCUUUUUAAAACCUCAGUAACUCACAGACCAUCUGAUUUCUUCAUUUGUUCCAUUGCCAAAGCUACAUGAACAGUUUCAUACUUUCCCUAUUUCACUUCUAACGUCCCAUACAUUUCACUUAUUUGUUAUGUUUAUCCACCAAUGGGUUCUUGGUGUAGAGAACUAUACCCAGCAUAUAGUGGAUGCUAAAUGAAUAUUUGUUGACCAAAUUGAAUUCAUGGACUAUUUUUAAAAGGCCAAUUACAUAAUUUUGAAGAGGGAAGCAGUAGGCAUCUAGAUAUUUAUAACUUGCAUAUUUACAACUGCUGGAGUAUCUGUAUUUACAAGUGUACAUUUAUUUAUUCAUUCCACAGGUAUCUAUUGAUUUUCUUCUGGGUAUCUGCCCUCAGAAAAAAGCGGUUUUUGGUCUCUCCAAUUUUGCAGAUUAGUGGAGGAAGCUAUAAUACAGUUUUAUAAAUAGUAUUAUUAAGACAGUCUCAGAGUGAUAGGAUAUAUCUAGGUAUCUUUGUCCUAGGCUGACUGGGUCCAGGUUCUUGCCUCCAAUGCAAGGUAGAAUUUGAGGGAAAGAUGUAGGCAAAGGUCAGCAGACAAGCAACAUUUAUUUGCAGACAAAGUGAAAGUUCACACUUAAGGAGUGCAGACAAGCUCAAGAGAGAACUGCAUUCAGUGAGAUUUUGAUUCAUCCCUUUUUUCUGCCAAGGGCUAUUUGCAUAUUUGUAACAUCACUUGUGUGCCAUGCAAAAUUAUCAACUUAAAAAUUAGCCUGCUUUAGAUUUAUUGAAUUGAGUCCUGCCUGCGGUUGCCAUGGUAGGGCCAGACCCAAAGACUUUGCAGACCUUAUGGGGGCGAGAUGUUCUCCACCACCGCAAGACGCGGGGGUGGCGCCAGGGCUGUACUUGAAUAUUCAUAAAGGAUGGGGUUUGAGGCAAGGCUUGAGCGCCACCCAUUUCCUUGCCGUUCUUUGGAAAUCUUGGCCAAGUCGUGGUGCCAGGAGCAUGGUGGGAAUAGGUGUGUCAGGCAUAGUAUUUUUAUUAUAACGACUUAAUAAUUAGCUAAAUGCCAUCAUGUGGAUGCAGCUGGCAGCCCUUUUGGGUCAGUUCUAAGCAGUGAAACUGCAGUGGCCAUGGUUUCCUGCUGCACAGGAGGGGUGGUGUUUGGGUGGCGCAGCCAGGUUGCCCUGCAAGUGGGAUUGCAACAAGGGGUCGGUGCCCCCGCUCCUUUUUGCUAGCUACUGCCCGACUAUAUCAUUUUAAGAUAGCGCUCUAAACAGAAGAUCUAUACCACACUUUGUUUUAAUUUUUUGUUGGCCUCAAGGAUCUUCACAUGGAGACUGUAUGAAUGUGUGUGUGUAUAAUUUGCUUUCAAAGGUAAUGGAAGGAAAUUAUUACAAGGGUUAUUAAAAAUAACUUUAGAGAGGGAGUGAUUUACUUUGAUCACCAACCUGGAAUUACAAGGAGGAUCUUCAGAAGUUAAAGGGAAAUACAUUUGAUGACAAAGCUGUCCAUGGAUUUCAAAAUGUUUUCACACCAAGAUAAAUUUAUUUAAUUUCAUUUCUGUGAACUUUUUGAAAUAAUUUUUUAAAAUAGAAAAUGAUUCAAAAUCUUUCUUCUAUUACAACUUGAUUUCUUCUUGUUCAUGUCAUUUUACAUGGUAUUUGAAAUGCAAAAAUCAGAAUAUAAUAAUAGAAAAUGAGUAAAUUAUGAUAUUUGUCAUAAAAUUAGUGCUAAAUUGUGUGUGUGUGUGUGUGUAAUUGGAAGCACCCUUUGAUUCUUUUUUAUAUAGCUUCUAACUUAAAAAGUAUAUCUAAUUUAAAGAUAUGGGAUUUAAAGUUAGAAGAAAACUUAGAGAAUAACUGAGGUUUUGGGACCAGUGUUGUGGCAUAGUAGAUUAAGCUGCUGCCUGCAUUGUCCACAUGCCACUAGUUCAGGUCCCAUUGCUCCACAACGGAUCCAGCUCCCGGGUAACACACCUGGGAAGGCAGCAGAAGAUGCCAGUGCUUGGGCCCUGGUCAACCAUGUCGGAGACCUGUAUGGAGUCCUAAGCUGCUGGCUUCAGUCUGGCCCAGGCUUAACCAUUGUGGACAUUGGGGAAUGAAUUAUCAGAUGGGAGGUCUCUCUUGAUACCUCUCUCUCUCUUUUACUUUGCCUUCCAAAUAAACAAAUAAAUAAGUAAUCUACAAAAGAACAAAAAAGAAAAUAUCUGAGGUUUUAUUUUACAAAUGAGAAAACCGAGCUCCAAAUAACUGAAUGAACUUGACAGAAGUCUCACAGUUAAUACAACAAUGGAAUUCAACACCAGUUUGCUGAUUGUCAGUCUGGACUUUCUAGUGCACCUUUCUGUAGUUGAUUUAAUGUGGUACUCCUAGGCUUUGCCUGGCUUGGAAAGGAGUUUCUGUGUAAGCUAUCUUGUCCUCAGAGUACAUACAGUAAACAUCCCUUGUAGAACAUGUCAUUGAGGAUGCAAUUAUGCUAGAUAACUUUUAACUUGUUUCUACAAAAUACUUUUCAAUGGGAUUCAUUUUUUUUACAUUAUAGUACAAAUCUUUUAGAUUUUAAAUCAGAAAACUACGUAUUCUUAGGUGAAUUUUAUUUUUCUAGCAAGAGCUGAAGUGUAUGAACAUACUGAUUUCACCCCCCAAAUUCAUUUGAGACCUUUUUUUUUUUUUUUUUUUUUAGAAAAAAAAAAUGAGUAGCUGGUUAGGUUUUUGCAGGCUUUUGCUUUGCUCCUUUGAUUACAGGUGAAACAAAGGGAAAAACAGGAUACAUGUUGGAUUAACAAACAGGAUGGAGAGGCUGCAGACUGGGGACAGAGUCUGUUGACUGCCUUUCCUGAUGGUAUAAUUAACAGCAUUUGCAGCAAUGUGCUCAGUCAGAAGACACUUAAUUCACUCUAUCUGGUGAUUAUGAGAGUGAUGAAUAAGACUUCUAUUAUCUUUUGAAAAGGUAUUUGAUCAUGUCCCUAACUACGAUAAAGGAAGAGAAAUGUUCCCAUUAUCGUGAGUUUAGAAUUGCGAAAAUGUAGCAGAAACCCAUCCUGACCUUCAAGGUAGUGUGAAAUGUGCCUGCUGUUGCUUUCACUUCCCAUGUACUAAGUGUCAUCGAGUAUAAGGAAAUGAAGUGCAAUUACUCAUUUCUUGACGUUCGUUUAUUUUCAGCACUUAAAGUGUGGAUGGAUUUCUGCCUUCAGACACUCCUCCUGUUUGUUGCUUCCCUUUGUUGUCAAGAGUCUGGCGAUCGCUUGCCUGGGCAUUAUCAGCCCUGUGCUUUUUCUUUUGGAAGAUAAUAAAGGUCAAACAUCCCCCUAGACCAGUGAAGUAUGUUCAAAUCAAUAAAGCAGGAUUCAAAUAGCUCAGGGAAAGCUUCAGAGUUUCAUCUGCCAGACGAUUGUGAACACCAGAAGGUACUUGUUUUUAUUUGUUUUUCUUUUUUAAGACUCCAACACAAUUGACACACAAAGUAAUUUAUUUGCCUUUUGGAGCUUUCUAAUAGAAUAAAAAAAAGGGAUAGUACUGUAAUGAAUAUCUUCACGGCACAAAUCUUGGAUUAUAUUGGUAUUGCAUGGGUCAGUUAGAAAAAAAAGUACUUUGAUUUAUCGCAUGAGAUUUUACUUUAGUUAUAGAAAUGUGAGCCUCAUAGGUAAGCACUACUUAGAUAAGAAUUUGUGAAAUGAGUUUGUUGGUGUUUGAUGGGUCAACCUUAAAUAAUUAGAAUAUGGAAAGUUUUUUGUUAUUUCAAAAUGUGAGAUAUAAAUAGGCCAUUUUUGUUUGUUUUAACCUUUGGCUGUAUAAGUCAGUAUUUCUUGCCCCAACAGUUUUAAUUAGCAUUUAUUAUUCUAAAAAAAAUAGAAGAGUGGCCACUAUUAGAUUUUGUUUCUUCCUUUUGUCUUUAAGAUCUGGUAUUAUGUGUUUUAGCCCAUUUGUGUUGUUACAACAAAAUACUAUAACCUGGUUAACUUGUAAAUAAGAGAAAUUUAUUUCUUGUAUUUUGAGUGGCUGGGGAGUGCAUAAUCAAGGCUCUAGCAGUCAGUGUCCUGACAGAGCCACUUCCUGUUCAUAGAUGGUGACUUCUCAAUGGGUUCUGCCGUGGUGGAGGGGGUGAAUGAACUACCUUGGGCCCACUUUAUAAGGGCAUUAAUCCCAUUCGAAAAGGCUCUGAUUUAUGACAUAGUUGACAUCCUAUUAGGUCCCCUCACCUAAUACCAUCACCUUGGGAGUUAGAACUUUAACAUAAAUGUCAAGAGAACACUGACAUUCAAACCACAGCAUGGCUUUUGUUGGUUUUAAUUGGCUUAUUUACAUUUUUGCUUGAAGGGAAGAAUGACACAGAGAGAGGGAGAGACAGAGAAAGAUAUUCCAUCUGCUCAUUUAGUACCCAAAUGGCCGCAACAGUCAGGGCUGGGCCAGGCUGAAGUGAAGUGCCAGGAACUUCAUACUGUCUCCCAUGUGGGUGACAGGGACUCAAGUACCUAAGCCAUCAUCAGCUGCUUCCCAGGCACAGUAGCAGGGAGCUGAAUUGGCAGUGGAGCAGCCAGCACUGGAACCAGCACUCUGAUAUGCAGUGCCGGUGUCGGGAGCAGUGUCCUAACCUGCUGCGCCACAACUCUGCCUGAGGGUGUUCUGUUCUAGUAGAAGUUCCACCAGUGAGAAUCCACUGAAGUAAGUGUUUGUAUUCAUGCCAAUCUGUACCUCAGUAUAGUAUUGACUGGCAUUGUAAACUUAUCCUGCAAAACAGAACAUAACUGCAAACUGUCCUUAAGAAGUUUUGAGGCAGAAACAUGGGAGCAUCACUUGAUUCACAUUAAGGAUUGGUUAACUGAUAAUUCAAAGAUGUAAAAUUAGAAAACCUUUUGGAACCUUGUAAGUCUGACAUAGAAAUGUGAGUACAAUAAUGGAAGUCAAACAUUAGAAAUUUAUAAUUGCCGGUUUAAUUUAAGCAAUAUAUUUCAAAGAAAUAUAAUUAGUUAAAUCAACAAUCAACUUAAUGUUGCUACUAUAUACUGAGACAACUUGAGUAACCUCUGUUCGUAACCAAAAAUUUUAAAGAUUUUAUUUAUUUAUUAGAGAGGUAGAGUUACAGACAGUGAGAGGGAGAGACAGAGAGAAAGGUCUUCCAUCUGUUGGUUCACUCCCCCAAUGGCCACAAUGACCAGAGCUGGGCUGAUCUGAAGCCAGGAGCCAGGGUCUUCUUCUGGGUCUACCCCAGGGGGAUGCAGGGGCCCAGGUGCUUGGGCCAUGUUCCACUGCUUUCCCAGGCCAUAGCAGAGAGCUGUAUCAGAAGAGGAAUAGCCCGAAUUCGAACUGGUACCCAUAUGGGAUGCUUGCGCCACAGGCAGAGGAUUAACAUACUGUACCACAGUGCUGGCCCCACCAAACAGCUUAAAAAUCACUUUAACAUAAGUUGUUUUACUUGUUUCUCAUGAGAGGUUGAUAAGACUCUUCAACCCUUCAAAGUUCUUCAGUUUUUUAAAUUCAAUGUUUUUGUUAUAGUAAAAUAUACAUAACAAAAUUUACCAUUUCAACCAUUUUUAAAAAUUUCUGUUGAUUUUUUUUGAAAGGUUGAGAGAGAUUGUAAGAGGCAGAGAGAGAUCUAUCCGCUGUUUCACUCCCCACAUCUCCAUAACAGCCUGGGUUGGACCAGGCUGAAGCCAGGAGACUGGAAAUCAAUCCUGCACUGCCUCCAAGGCUGUGCAUCAGUAGGAAGCUGGAUCAGAAGCAGAGGAGUCAGAAAUCAAACGAGGCAACCCAAUGCUGAUGUGGGUAUCCCAGGCAGUGACCUAACUGCUGUGCCAAUGGCCCAUCCCCAUCUUAACCAUUUUCAAGUGUGCAGUUCAGUGGUAUAGAAUGCAUUCACAUUGUUGUGCAACCAUCACCACCAUUUAUAUACAGAAUAUUUUCAUCUUCCUAACUGAAACUCUGUACCCGUUCAACAGUAAUCCCCCCAUUUCCUGCUCCCUCCCACCCUUGGCAGCCAUCAUUCUACUCUCUGACUUCUUUAGUUUGAUUACUGUAGUUACUUCAUAUAAGGGGGAUCGUAAGGUAUUUGUCGUUUUGCUGCUCGCUAUCUCACUCAGCACAAUGUUUUCCAGGUUCAUCCAUGUUGUGACGUGUCAAAAAUUUCUGGCUAUUAAUUCAUGGUGUGUAUACACUACAUUUUGUUUGUAUUUUCAUCUGUAGAUGAACAUGGGUUACUUCCACCUUUUGGCUGUUGUGAAUAACGCUGCUAUGAAAAUGGGUGUACAGAUCUCUCUUUGAAACUGUGAUUUCAAUUGUUUUCAGUGUAUGCUUAGAAGUGGUAUUCCUAGAUGCUAUAUUUAAUUGUUUGAGUAAACAUCAUACUGUUUUCCAGAGUAGUUAAAUCAUUUUAUAUUCCUAUCAGCAAUGUGCAAGUUUUCUGAUUUCUCUACCUUUUUGGUAACACUUGCUAUUUUAUUGAAAAAAAAUUUUUUUUGACAGGCAGAGUUAGACAGUGAGAGAGAGACAGAGAGAAAGGUCGUCCUUCCCUUGGUUCACCCCCCAAAUGGCCACUAUGGCCGGCACUGCACCCAUCCGAAGCAUCCGAAGCCACAGGCCUCACUGAAAUUUUUUUUGAAUUCUUGGGCUAAUAGAAGUGGUGUGCAUUGCAUUGUAAUUUUGUUUUAAAUUUCCCUAAUGAUUUGUGAUGGUUAAGACCUUUUCAUAUGCUUAUUGGUCAUUCAUAUAUUUUCCUUGAUGAAAUGUUUAUUCAAGUUCUUUGCUAAUCUUUUACUUUUUGUUGUUGUUUGUUAUUAGUGAUUAGUUCUUUAUAUAUUCUGGCUAGUACUCUGUAUCACAAAAGAAAUUUACAGAUAUUUCAUUCCAUGUGUCACCUUUUCACUUUAUUGAAUGUGUCCUUUGAUGCACAAAACUUUUUUAUUUUCUGUGAAGCAUAUUUAUCAAUAUUUUCUUUUGCUCCCUGUGCAGCUGAUAUUAUAUCCAAGAAAUCAAACAGUGAGUGCAUAACAAGUCAGGGCAGUUUCUGUUUAGUAGUACAAAAUAAAUCCAAGUUGCAAGGAAUGGAGAAAUUGAAAACAGCAAAUACACACGACUUUUCUAAGGUGGUUUUGCUGCAAAAAAAAAAAAAAGAACAAAAAAGGAUAGAUAGAUACAUUAUAGAAGCAGUACAGCCAAGAGCAAAUUUUAAAGAGUAAGAAAUAACAGCAUGUUUGUGUGUUGCUGGGAAGUAUUCAAUGAGCAGGGGAAAAUUCAUGCAAAAAGCAAAGAGCUAGUUGCUAGAGCAAUGUCGUUGAGUAGGUGAGUUUGAGAAGUCAUGAGAUUGGUCUCAGAUAGGAGCAGAGAGUUUACCUAUACCAUCAGGAAGGAAGGGGAGGAUAUGGAGGUGCAGCUUUGUGAGUAGAAGUGGCACUGGAGCUCUACUGAUGUGGUUUUGAUUGAUUGCUGAGUUUUCUUAAAUAAUUAAGAAUGCGUCAUAAGCUUACUGUGAGAGAAGGGAAGAGAAGGCAUAUGUUUAUGAUGCGUGGAAGAUGUAGAAAAAUCACCUAGGAGAGUAAGUGGGGUAGGAAAUAUAGCAUAGUAGCCAGGCAUUUCAGGGUUACACAAGCCACUCCUAGAUUCAACUGAUUUGUUAACAAGACAUACAGGACAGGGCAUACAGCCAUAUAUGAUUUCUUAUGGUGAAAGAGCACAAAAGAAAUUAAACAAGGAUCACACGGUAUCAGGACUGAACAUCUAAGUGUAGUUUUCCAGCUGAGUAGCAUGCUUAAUUUCUUCAGUAACCAGUUAGGCAGCACAUGUGAAAUGCUGCUUCCAAGGAAGCUCAGUACUGGGAGUUGGUCAUGCAGAAAUUCUGAGUCUUGCUCAUAUUAAAGCUUUAGACUUCCAGGUGGAAAGCCAGUGUUCUGAAUGAAUCAUCGUCCACACAAACAGUAUAGGCCCAGUGAACCUUCUUAUCAGGGAAUGGUUGACUCCUUCCUAAAAAUCCAAGUUCCAAGAUAGCAGUCAAAGGCCAAUUUUGUAAGUAGCUCUCUGUAAGGAUAGCCUUAGACAUCCCUGGUCUACAAUGUGACUUCUUUUCUGCAUGCUGGGAUAUACUUGAAAGCAGGACCCAUUUAAAAGCAGUAGUCAUCAUUUUAAAGUAAGAAUGAACAGCAUAGCUGUGUUUUCUUUCCCAUCCAUUGUUUGGCAUAGAAAGUGGAGAGUCAGAUUUAACUUGGGUCAAAGUGUUGCAAGUCACUACAUCAAAUCAUCAGAAAUGCAAGUUGAGAGUGUAUGAAGAGGAGCCGUUAUAAAUCUACUGUGAAAUGAGAAGUGAGCAGUGAAGACAAAGCGGACAUUGAAGGGUGAUACUGUGAGGAGAGAAAAAUAGAGGUCAGAAGAAAUGAGGGCAAGGGACUAUUGGAGAAGAAAAGGGAGGGAGUGGGAAGGAGAUGAGGUGGUUAGAGGUGGAAUGUAUGGAUCUCAGACUGUAAAGAUGUAGCUCUUGAUAAAUACAAGGUCUAGGUUUGCCCAAGAGCUGAAGGGCAGGAUAAUUGAAAGAGGAACUUGUAAGAAGCUAAAGAACUUAUAAGACAGCACUGGAAGGCCUUUCUGGGUGAAAUAACCAAGAAUUAAGUCAUGAGUAGUGCUGGAGAGAACCACAGUGAACUUGUGGGUGAUGCUUUUUAGAAAUGAAGCAGAAUGUCUUAGGAAUUGGCCAAUGAUUGAACCAUGAAGUAUAGGAAGUAGAGUGUAUAGAGACAAGAUAUUUAAUGCAGGUGUGAGUGACAAUGAAGCAGUGAGGAGAGGAGCAAGUUGUACCUCAAAAGCCAGCACAUGGUAGGAAAACAGCCACUAUUUUAUAGGUCUGGAUAGAAAGCACAGUCCUUAGAGAAAGCCAGGCUUCUGCUAUAUGUACCAAAACAGUGAAAGGAACUCCAAGAGGAGAUAAUGAAGACAGAGAUUUGGAUGGUGGUGGAUUUUAUUUCCAUAUUCAAUUUAAUUCUCAAAAGCAUAAUGCAAAUAUGUGGCAGGGUGGUGAGUGAGGAGGACCCUGUUAGAACUUUAUGAGAGUUAAAUUAUUGGAGGUGAGGAAAGACCUCAGACACUGAGGCUUCUUUUUUUUUAAUUUAUUUUUUAUCUUUAUUAUUUUUUUUUUGACAGGCAGAGUGGACAGUGAGAGAGAGAGACAGAGAGAAAGGUCUUCCUUUUUGCCGUUGGUUCACCCUCCAAUGGCUGCUGCGGCCGGCGUGUUGUGGCUGGCACACCGCGCUGAUCCGAAGGCAGGAGCCAGGUGCUUCUCCUGGUCUCCCAUGGGGUGCAGGGCCCAAGUACUUGGGCCAUCCUCCACUGCACUCCCUGACCACAGCAGAGAGCUGGCCUGGAAGGGGGGCAACCGGGACAGAAUCCGGCGCCCUGACCGGGACUAGAACCCGGUGUGCCGGUGCCGCUAGGAGGAGGAUUAGCCUAGUGAGCCGCGGCGCCAGCCGGUAAUGGAAGUUACCAGGCAGUUGGACUCCUGACCUUUCCCAACAUCUCUGGCAGAGCUCUUGUGCUUGACCUGUCUAAUGGUAGAGGCAGAAGUUCGAGGGUAGGAACGGUGGUUGUGCUGGGGGAGGACCUGAAUCAGAUCUCUCUCGACCCUCGUUGAGGGAAAGAUGCCCUCCCAGCUGGUCUCUGCUGAGCCUCUCAGGCACAGAAGGGCUACGGAGAACUUGGAUCACAUCCAUCUCUCUCUUGUUCCUUCAACACUUCAUCAACAGAUAAAGUGUUAGCACUUGAUUUAUAUCAGAGUGAAUGUAAGUCAGUUUCAUAAAUAGUUUUGGAGAUGAGUCUGAAAGCCUGAAAUACGGGAAAGAGAAUAGCAAUUGAAAAAAACAAGAGUCCAUUUUCCUGUUUUCUAUUCCUUCAUUCAGAUGGAGAAAUCGUCAUCCAAAAAGGCACCAAAGCUGGAAAGGGAAGGACAGAGGCAGAAGCUACUUUUAGAGUAACUUGGUAGUGAGGUUUUUAUGUUCACAUGUAAAUUGUUUAUGUGUAAGUAAAAGACAGAAUAUAAUGAAUUCUCUAACUAGACCAGGUAAAAUCAUUGUCUAGGAGCACUAAACAAUGAAAGCAAGAAAAGUGGGAUUUUGAAUUCUUUGUGCAGUCAGUUCUCUAAGUCUCAGAGAAAAAGAAAGGUUGUAUUUAGAGAGUGAGAUUUUUUUUCUUAUGCUUUAAAUUCAUCUUGGGCGUAAAAAAUACUUUCCUUACAGUGAAAAGGAUUGUUGAUACUUUGCACCUACAUACACUGUCUGUCCUAAAAGUUAGCAUAGCUGCAGUAUCCUCCAUACUAUUUUCAUCUCAUCAGGGAGCCAAUUUGGAACUAAAAACAGAUCUGAACAGAUUUGAUAGGGCAAAGCAUUUACUGAUUUCAUAUAAUUCAACCUGUAUAACUGCCCUACUUUGUAAUAGUUUGAUAAUACACCUGAUCAAAAAGCACUACAGUAAUGAUUCUAAGAAUCAUAAUACAAUAUUGACUUUGCUCAUCUCAUCUGCUUCCAAAUGGACCCCCCCCCCCCCACACACACUGGAAAACUCAUCACUGUGUAACUUUUAAUCAUUUUCUAGUGAAGAGUUGCCUAGCUUCGCAGUUUGUCAGCACUAUCUGAGGUGUUGACUGGCUUCUUAAUUAAAAGGGAGACACAAACUGGUGCUGGGGUUUUUGAGUCUGUAGUUUCCUGUCAUCAUCAAUUACCCCAUGGUUCGUUUUGAGAAUUUUCUUAGGCCUGGGACUCCAGAAGAAAACAAUGAACUUGGGUCCGAGAUUCACAGGUAUGGAUGAGACCUAAAUCUUUACUAACUAAUUAUAGGUUGUUUGUGAAAAGAGGAACGUUGGGCUAAGAUGAACAGUGGGAUUGGACAUGGUAGAAGACGUGUUUGGAUUUAAAUCCUGGCUCUGCCUCUUACGGGCUCUAUGACCUUGGACAGGUUGCUUGAUUAUUCUGAGCCUCAGUUUGUCUGAAGAGUGUAUAUGCUGCAGCAGUGUUGUGAGAGCCUGGAAAUACCUUCAGUGACGUUCGUGCUGUGUGAUAAGUACUUGCUUUUUAUUACAAAGAUUUCCAUUAAUCCUAUGAUGAUGUAUGGAUUUUUACAUUGAAAUUUCCUUCUGUUUUUCUUUUAUUCUUUAAGGAGGGGAGGAACAUUUUUUUUCUCUCCUCCCUGUUUAAGCUCCAGCAUAGACAAAUCUAUCCCCUAGAGUACAUCUUGUUCAUGCCUUGUCUGACAUUUGGAUUAAAGCAGCUAUAUUGGAUGCCUCUGAGCUUCUUUCUGUGUGUGCGUAUCAGCCGGAGGGCUAGUCAAUGCCGCUGUUCUAAUGUGCUAUAACAACCUGUUUUGUUUAAAGGCAAGGCUGUCAUUUGAUGGAAGAAUCACGUUUAUGAACAUUCCCAUUUGCUUUUCUAGUAAAGACAUGUGACAACUAAUCUCAUGUAUUUUUCAUCCAAAAGGAGUAAAUGCUUUCAGUUUGUAACAAAUUGACCUUUAAGCUCUAUUUAAACUGGAAAGUGGACGCUGUUAGUUUUGAUAUUUGUUGUGUUUGAAAUUUUACAGGAAAAAGAUCAGCAAUAUAGAGAAUUUUUUCUACGCCAUUAAAGUAUAGUAAUUUCAUUGUCUUUUUGUGAGAAAUGAGGAGAAUGGUUGCCAGGAGACUAAAAUGAAUCUUAGGAUAUUAGAUGAAAAAAAUUUCCCCUACCAGCUACUAGAACAAAACCUGCAAAGGGAAAAUACUCACAGCAGCAUUCCCCAAUGGCUGGAGCUUUACACUUGGUUGGACACAUCAAUAAAACUUGUCCAGAAAAUAAAGCCAGAUAUUUUAUGCCUACACAUAUUUGGGGAUAAGAGACUUUGAAGCUUCCUCUUUCAAAUUUGUUUUAUACCCUCAAAUUAUUGUAGUCUUUAACUUGCCUAUAUUGGUUGACCAGCAUCAGGUAUUUUAAAUCCCUUUCACACCUAUCAUUAUUUCUUAUUGUUCCUAUACAUAUAUUUUCAUUUUCUUUUUGACCACUGAUGCUUUUCAGUGAGUGGUUUCAGGGCUAUGUGAAUCCUGUCCCCAGCCCCUGUUCUGUGACAGCCAAUUAUUUAUUGUGAUUCUUAGUUUUUGGUUGUCCAUGAACAAGUGUAGUAUGGUAACUGCUAGCCCAUCAGUCCUAAUAUUUCUUUUUCAUAGAGCUUAUUCUGAGGAAUGCUUCAGGCCCUUCUCUAUCCAGGAAAAAUUUAAUCCUUUGCAAAAUCUCUAUUGGCAUUCAGAGAACUUUUAUCUCAGUGUUCAAUGCAGAAAGCUAAUAUUUUUUAGGGAUCAAUUCAAAUGCCUUCAAAGAUCAAGCAGUUAACAAAUAAGUGAUGUGGGAAACUGGGGAACUAGAAGAGAAGAAGGCAGAGUGGAGUCUGGGGUCACAGAACAUUACAUGACUUCUGCAGAUAUCUGCAACACUAUGUCUAACUCGACUCAGCUAACCCCUGCUUGCUCCAUCUGGUCAAACUGUUGAUGAUAUAUUGCUUCAAUUUAAUUCUUACAGUGAUUGGCUGGGGAUAUUUUAUUAUUCCUAUUUUACAGAUAAGAAAGUUGAGGCUCAGAAUAUUUAGAUAAGUUACCCAAGGCCAUAGUGAUGUUUAGGAAACAGAAACUGAAAAUCCUAUCCUCUGCUCCAAACCCCAUGUUAAUUCUCUUUGAAUAGAACUGCUUCCAUAGUAGCUUGAAUGUAUCCACAAGUUAAUCAACAACUCAUUUAUCCAACCCAGAACAUUCUGGCUCAUUCCCUAGUUUUGCAGUGCUUAGAAUGUUACUUAUCACAUAGAAUGACAAGACUAGAUAUUAUUAGCUAGAUUCUGGUAUUUAUUAUAACUAAGGACUUCCUGAAAUUACAGAGAGAGAUUGUUGCCUAUAUGUAUUUGAUUGUUUGUGGUGAACUCGAAUUGGGGAGAUUUAUCGCAUUAUUAAAAUCCUUGAAAGCAGCUGUAGUCUUCAAAUUCAAAGAAAACAAGGUUAAAGUUUACCGUCUGAAGUUUUUUCUUUCUCUUAUGACACAAGAAGAAGUGACUUAUGAAAAACUCAUACAAAAAUAUAAAUUACUUAUGAAUUAUGAAUUAGAGGAUAAUUGGCAUUUUAAAAACUUCUGGGCCGGCGCCGUGGUUCACUAGGCUAAUCCUCCGCCUAGCAGCACCGGCACACCGGGUUCUAGUCCCGGUUGGGGCGCCGGAUUCUGUCCCGGUUGCCCCUCUUCCAGGCCAGCUCUCUGCUGUGGCCAGGGAGUGCAGUGAGGAUGGCCCAAGUCCUUGGGCCCUGCACCAGCAUGGGAGACCAGGAUAAGCACCUGGCUCCUGCUAUCGCAUCAGCGCGGAUCAGCCGCAGCUGCCAUUGGAGGGUGAACCAAUGGCAAAGGAUGACCUUUCUCUUUGUCUCUCUCUCACUAUCCACUCUGCCUGUCAAAAAAAAAAAAAAAAAAAAAACUGCUGAAAAUAUGCUUCUAUAAAUUUUUUGAAAUCAAAUACUUUGUUAAAUUUAUAUUUAAAUGAAAGCCUUUAAAUGAAAACUUUCCUUUUCCUUUGAAUUUAUUUUUCAUGAUCCAAAUUUUUCAAAAAUUUUGUUUGAAACAUAGAGGAACACAUAGUGAGUACAGACUACAGAGACAUAGGCAUACAGGGACAGACAGAGACGGAGAGUGCCUACCCACUGGUUUCCUCCCCAGAUGUCUGCAAUGGCUGUGGCUGUGCCCAAAGCUGAGAUUCAAGAAUGCAGUUCAAGUCUCCCAUGUGGGAGUUAGAAGCUUUUACUUGAGCCAUCACUGCUUCCUCCCAGGUUCUGCAUUAGCAACAUGCUCAAAACAGGAGCUGCAGCCAGAGAUCAAACCCAGAAAAGGAGAAGACACACUGAAACACAGAAGAGGAGACUGCAUGAAGCUGCAGGCAGAGACUGGAGUGAUGCAUUUGAACCAAGGAACAGCAAGGAUGGCCAACAUCCACCAGAAUUCAGGACAGAG